AUUGAACGCUGGCGGCAGGCCUAACACAUGCAAGUCGAGCGGUAACACAGGGAGCUUGCUCCCGGGUGACGAGCGGCGGACGGGUGAGUAAUGUCUGGGAAACUGCCUGAUGGAGGGGGAUAACUACUGGAAACGGUAGCUAAUACCGCAUAACGUCGCAAGACCAAAGAGGGGGACCUUCGGGCCUCUUGCCAUCAGAUGUGCCCAGAUGGGAUUAGCUAGUAGGUGGGGUAACGGCUCACCUAGGCGACGAUCCCUAGCUGGUCUGAGAGGAUGACCGGCCACACUGGAACGGAGACACGGUCCAGACUCCUACGGGAGGCAGCAGUGGGGAAUAUUGCACAAUGGGCGCAAGCCUGAUGCAGCCAUGCCGCGUGUAUGAAGAAGGCCUUCGGGUUGUAAAGUACUUUCAGCGGGGAGGAAGGUGUUGAGGUUAAUAACCUCAGCAAUUGACGUUACCCGCGGAAGAAGCACCAGCUAACUCCGUGCCAGCAGCCGCCGUAAGAC
rnacentral:rRNA from 1 species